GUCUGAUUCUUCUUUCUCUUCAACCUUUUCUUCUUUCUUUGGCUCAGGUGCAGCUGGAGCACCGCCACCACUAGCACCACCAACAGCAGUUGCAGCCACUGCAACACCACCACCAGAAGGAACUGAGGCCAACUUCUCUCGCCCAGAUGCAAUAAGCUCUGUUAUAUCUUUGCCCUUAACUUCUGAGAGAAGAAGCUCAAUUCUAUCGUCAUCAGCUUCAGCUCCAACUGUAUAGUAAAAGGAUAUAUUCCACUUCAGCAACAGUAGUUCAUACUACCAGGGACAAAAUUGUCAAAAAUAGAGCGCAUAACAUCAUGUUUAUAACCUUUUUUUAACAUUUCAAAGUCUCCUUAUUGAUGACUCGCAGGCAUACAAUUAGAAGGCAAAAGCUAUUCAGAGAAACCUCUCAUCUAUGAGUUCUCCUAAGAAAUGAAUGUCAUAGAUAAUAUUUAUAUACAAAUG
rnacentral:lncRNA from 1 species